rnacentral:precursor_RNA from 1 species
GAGGACCGUAUUCAUGGAAGAGGAUUGAACAGUAAAGAGCCCAGGAUUUGAUAAAAAUGAGAAUAUAUCGCCUCAAGCAGAAGCAGAUGAAUAUAUGGGAGAUGAAGUAGACAGUAUGUUGGAUAAAUCUGGAGUAAAGAACCCAGCAAUUGGUAAAGAUAAGAAUAUAUCGCCUCAAGUAAAAGGAGAUGAAGACAUGGGAGAUGAAAUUGACAGUAUGUUGGCUACAUCUGGAGGUCUUUUCUCCUGAGAACACGGGACUCCAGCAUCUUCGGAUUCUGCUCUUGGAGCUGCAUCAUUGGACUGAAAGUGAGUGGCCCAUGUGUUGCCACUGAUGUGAGCCAUUUGCCUGUUGUGCUUCA